UACGUAGGGCGCAAGCGUUGUCCGGAUUAUUGGGCGUAAAGAGCUCGUAGGCGGCCUGUCGCGUCGACCGUGAAAACCCGCAGCUCAACUGCGGGCUUGCGGUCGAUACGGGCAGGCUGGAGUUCGGUAGGGGAGACUGGAAUUCCUGGUGUAGCGGUGAAAUGCGCAGAUAUCAGGAGGAACACCGGUGGCGAAGGCGGGUCUCUGGACAGGUACUGACGCUGAGACGCGAAAGCGUGGGUAGCAAACAGG
rnacentral:rRNA from 1 species